rnacentral:rRNA from 1 species
CGGCGGACGGGUGAGUAACGCGUGGGUAACCUGCCUCAUACAGGGGGAUAACAGUUGGAAACGGCUGCUAAUACCGCAUAAGCGCACAGUACCGCAUGGUACGGUGUGAAAAACUCCGGUGGUAUGAGAUGGACCCGCGUCUGAUUAGGUAGUUGGUGGGGUAACGGCCUACCAAGCCGACGAUCAGUAGCCGACCUGAGAAGGUGACCGGCCACAUUGGGACUGAGACACGGCCCAA